GGGGGCGUCCUGGGUUCGACUGGGAUAUGAGAGCUGUUUGACUGCACUCCGAGGAUGAUCGUUGGCCUCGUAAAUAAUCGAUCAAAACAUAAUUGCUGACGACUACGCAUAUGCGGUAGCUGCUUAAUUGCAGUGAACCCGCAACACUGUCUCCCACGGGAGGCACGUCACCUGGCUUUCUCACUUAGGGUCAACGUGGCGCAACUUUAAUGUGAUAGGGACCGGAAGCCUGGUAUUCCACCACCUGGCGGCGUCCGGAACUGAAAUUAAUGUCAUAAGGGGACGAUCGGAGGACCGAGCCAGCAGGUAAAAUCCGACCGUAUUGAUAUGCUGACUAUGAGUGUAGAGGUCUUACGGGGAAUUAUUUCAGGACGCGGGUUCGAUUCCCGCCGCCUCCACCA
rnacentral:tmRNA from 1 species